rnacentral:rRNA from 1 species
GCACGUAGUUAGCCGGUGCUUAUCCUUACGGUACCGUCAUUAGCCCUCUUUAUUAGAAAAGGCCGUUUCGUUCCGUACAAAAGCAGUUUACAACCCGAAGGCCUUCAUCCUGCACGCGGCAUGGCUGGAUCAGGCUUACGCCCAUUGUCCAAAAUUCCCCA